AUCUUGCUGGAGAUCCCUGCGUACCAGAGGCCUUCAGAAGGUAGGACUCAGUCUGCCUCUUUCCUUGUUUGGACGUGACAGUGAUGGACCAGAUUUUACUGGGAGCAUGAACCUGACCUUCAGCUUGUGCCAAAGGUGCAACAGAAGAAUGCCUUUCAGCAACAUGCAGGUCUGAGAGAUGUCAAGUGUUCGUUGCAUUCUGCUGACACCCCCUGGUGCCAUUACCAAGCAAGAUGUUUCCUCUGGGGACAUGCCCUUCUGAUUGGGAUCUCAACAUGUGCAGUGAGUCAUCAAAUUGUCUCUUUCAGUCAUCAUGCCUGUGCUGAACUACUGCAGUCUCUUGCCCCUGCACAUCAGACCAGGGCCUAAGAAGCCAGCAGCGAGUGGCCUUUGAGUCUGUAACAAGCAUGCUGCUUUUCUAAUUAAAAAUGUCUGAUGUUGGAGCCACUUAUAAGUAACUCAGAACUGUUGUCUUAAAAUAGAAUGUCAAAAUUUCCUGAAGCUCUCUUGACAUUGAGCAGUCUUCGUUCUUUCUGACUCAUAGGGCAAAGACUCAUAGCUCCCUGGUCCCCAGCUUGUCUCAGCUAUGGGAGGAAGAAGCCACUUGAUUUGAAUACUGAAGAGUUAAGAGCCAGACCAGAUGGCAAGGGAAAAAGACACAGGAGUGACAGGAAGCAGCUUCAAGUCUGUGGCUGGUGGGGAGGAAGAGAAAAUGUGCCUUUCUUUUUUAUUAUUUUAACUCUCAUGUAUCUGAAAAAUGUCUCAGUGUGUCCUCCGAGAGACUGGGGUGUUUCCCACUUGUCUGCGAAAAAUAUGCCGUGGAGAUGAUGUAGCAAAAUACGUGCAUAGUGUGGUAAAAUAUAUUUUAAAGUCCAGGGAAACAGUCAUCUCAAACUAAUGAUCAUCCUGAAUUGGCCACUCACUUCUGGUACUGACUAAGCAAUAGACUUAAAUCUCAUUUAAAAAUAAGCAUAUGAAUACCAGAACAAGGAUUUUGUGAUACCCUCAGAAAAUUCUGUGAAGACUACAAAAUUCUGACUGUCUUGAAUGUUAUGAACAAAUUUGAUUUUGUUUGUGUUGUCUGCUUUAAGUUCAGUCCUUUUUUGAGGUAAGUGAGGCUUAAGAUUCAUCUAAGAGUGAGACCUCCCUCACCAGUGUAUUUAAGGAUGCAAUGGGCUGGGACACUGCCUUGUCAGAACAAGUUCUCGCUUUCUCUAGUGCAUCCUUCUAGCCUGUCCAAAGGGAAAGAGGUGUACCCACGUUAGGCAUGCAAGUGGGUAACUGGUGGCCUGGGGUAUCUGGAAUUCUCAUUGGCAUGUAGCUCUGCACUGGGUCAGCAAAGGUGACAGGGCCUUUCCUAUUGCUGCUGGCCCAUGUGGGCUGGACAGGCAUAAUUGCUUAACUUUGAAGUUCUUGACUUAACAAUGCCAAUAUUUCUUUAAUUCCUUCACAUCAUAUUGUUUGCCAUUUAAAAAAAAAAAAAAAGAGUAAGUACACUCUCUUGCUGUUCUCACAGUCUUUUUCUUCCUAUUCUCCUCUGUGAGGUAGCUUCAUAGUCUUAUUCUCUCAAUAAGUUUAGUCUGUCUCUGAAAGCGUAAGUAAGACACAAAGGAGAUUUAGGUGCCUAAGUUCCUCCUUGCACAAUGGAGGAGUCUAUGGCAGAUGGUGAUGGGUGAAGUGCUGUGCUAAUGCCCCACUACAACCUACGAGGUACACCAAUCUGCUAAUUAAAUAAAAUACCAUGAGUUCAGUCAUC
ensembl:lncRNA